rnacentral:misc_RNA from 1 species
GUGAAUUAUAGGGCGUCUACUUCGGUAGGGCCUGACCUCCACUUUCUAACUCUGUGCACUCAUUUGGCGGAAAAGAGGAAUAGUGAUUGUCUCGCGACGAUUAGGACUUCCUUCUUUCUGCGGCUUACUUUAAACACCAGUCAAAGUAUGUAACGAAAUAUCGAAACAAAAAA